AACUGUUGUCGGCGUGACGGUAUCCAACCAGAAAGCCACGGCUAACUACGUGCCAGCAGCCGCGGUAAUACGUAGGUGGCAAGCGUUAUCCGGAUUUAUUGGGCGUAAAGCGAGCGCAGGCGGUUUUUUAAGUCUGAUGCGAAAGCCCUCGGCUUAACCGAGGAAGUGCAUCGGAAACUGGGAAACUUGAGUACAGAAGAGGACAGUGGAACUCCAUGUGUAGCGGUGAAAUGCGUAGAUAUAUGGAAGAACACCAGUGGCGAAGGCGCUCUGCUGGACCAUAACUGACACUCAGGGACGAAAG
rnacentral:rRNA from 1 species